AGUGAUAUUUAAGACUACUUUUCUACGUAAUAUAUGAAAUAUGUAGUAUAUACAUUCAUCUUUUAUUUUAUUUUAGGAUCAGAAUGUUUCAUUGUUGAAACUGUGACAGACUGUGAUGCUGUGACAGACGAAAGUGUGCUAUAUCAUCCAUUUCAAACCUUGUCUCUCUCCUUCCCUUUCUGACCUGGACCUGGAUGCUUCAGUGCCCUGACUACAGCUAAACAGCAGAAUAGUUUAAUAAUGAGGAAAACUGACCAAAGUGGCAGGACAGUAUAAAUAAAGAUUUUAUUGACAUUUAAGGGAAUGAACAUACAGAUUAUACAAUAGCCAAGAACUCCCAUCCAUGCAGCAGCAGAACAUGCCAGCCUGUAUCUCAGGGGCUUGUACUUCAGGAAAGUGACAGGAUGGACCACCGCCAUGUAACGCUCCACACAGAUCAAACAGAGAAACAGAGGACGGGCGCAGAUAAAUACUCCCCCAUAAAAACUACUAAUGGUGUAAAUUCUAAACAGACAAAACUAAGAACGUAGAAUAAACAGCGUAUGCAGAUGAACAUCUCGUUAACAGUCAGAUUGAGGCCGAAAACUCAGACACAACCGCACUUCCUUUUCUCAUCAAAAUAAGCCACAAGACGUAGGAAUUGAUAGGUAAACCCACAAUGAAAUUGAUUGCAUAACCUGGAAUGUACAUAGGGUCUGUAUAUCCUGCCCAAGGAUUCCUGCUUGUAGCAUUUCUAAACAGGUUUGAGAUGGGUGUGCUGGAAAGCCCAUCAGAGACGUUCAUCUUCAGAGUGCACACCCCUUCUCACGAUAAAAUAUGAAAUCUGAAAUAAAUUACACAAAGAAAAUUAUAUAAGGGCCAAAUAUAAUGAAACAAACAGUCUGUUUUCUUUAUCAGAACAAAUUCAUUGUAUAGUGUUUUUUUUUUUUGUGCAUAGAUCUAGAUCAACAUAGAUCUAACGUGUUCAGUUGAUAUAGUCAUGAUAAAUAUCAUAACUACCAUAGUAAACCAUAGUAAUGAUAGUACAGUUAAAAAGUGAUCUCACCUUUCAGUCAUAAACAGAAUGCAGGAUACCACAAGAAGAAUACAUUAGUAUAUUAAUUUAAUGGACUGACUAAUUAUCAAUUCACAUUAGUUUAAACAUUAUUAAUCAUUAUAUUUUAACUUAAUUAAAUUCUAAAUUCAUUAUAAUUUACAGCAUUCUUAAGCCUAAAUUGUACAAAUUAGUGUUGUGUAAAAUGUCUUAACUAGUAUUAUUUAACAAUGUUCAUUACUGUCAUAAGUACUGUGAUGCAUCCUUCCUGUAAAUUGUUUCUGAGUUCAGCAUUGUUGAGAACUGCACCCUUAAAAUGAUCAGUGUAUUGUUCUGAGAACAGCAACAUCUUUAUCUGAUACACAGAUGCUCUUCUUUGUCAUCAGUUUCAACUUAAAGUGAUGUUUAUUUGAUGGGGUAGGAUUUGGUGGUCUACUAGGUUUUGUAUAGUUAUUAGGGUUUCUCUAUAAUAUUAAAUAAAUAAAAUCUAAUUAAAUCCAAGCUCAAAUGUUACACAAUAAAUGGUAAAUAAAUUGAUUCUUAUGAGUUUUUCUACUACUGUAAAUAUGUCAUUUUAAAUACAACAGCAUUAAUAUACAAUAACCUUUUUUCAAAUCAUUAUGUAUAUAUUUUACUUUAAAGUAAGUAAACGUCAGAAGAUAUUCCAUAAUAAAAAUAUAUAUAUUUCUUAAUGCAUACGUACUGUAUAGGCAGAAAAACUUUAGAUCCAUAAGUAGUCAAGAAAAGCAGACAUCUGGCUAAUUUACCAUAAAAGGCAUCUGUUUGAGUGUGUGUGUGUGUGUGUGACUUUAUUUAAUUUAUGACAUGUGAUUUUUCAUGCAUUUAAAUGUAUGCUAAGCUAAUGUCAGUAAGGUAAAUGCCAGUAAUGUUUGACAUGAAGGGUAGCAGUUUUAUGUAGCAUACAUCAAUGUAAAUUCAAUAAAUAUUGACUAAAUGCAAUAAAAAAAUUCAAACAAAAAAAACUUUUCAUGUGAUGUAAACUACAUCCAACAUCAACAAAAAUAAAAUCUACAGCCAGA